AGCAGCCGCGGUAAUUCCAGCUCCAAUAGCGUAUAUUAAAGUUGUUGCAGUUAAAAGCUCGUAGUUGAAUUUCGGGGUUAGUAGGUUGGUCAUGCCUCUGGUAUGUACUGGUCUCACUGAUUCCUCCUUCCUGAUGAGCCGUAAUGCCAUUAAUUUGGUGUUGCGGGAAUUUGGACUGUUACUUUGAAAAAAUUAGAGUGUUUAAAGCAAGCUAACACUUGAAUACAUUAGCAUGGAAUAAUGAAAUAGGACGUUUGAUUCUAUUUUGUUGGUUUCUAGGAUCGACGUAAUGAUUAAUAGGGAUAGUUGGGGGCAUUAGUAUUCAAUUGUCAGAGGUGAAAUUCUUGGAUUUAUUGAAGACUAACUACUGCGAAAGCAUUUUGCCAAGGAUGUUUUCAUUUAAUCAAGAACAAAAGUUAGGGGAUCGAAGACGAUCAGAUACCGUCGUAGUCUUAACCAUAAACUAUGCCGACUAGGGAUCGGAUGAUGUUAAUUUUUUAAUGACUCACUCGGCGCCUUA
rnacentral:rRNA from 1 species